UGCCAGACUCCUACGGGAGGCAGCAGUGGGGAAUAUUGCACAAUGGGGGGAACCCUGAUGCAGCGACGCCGCGUGGGCGAAGAAGUAUUUCGGUAUGUAAAGCCCUAUCAGCAGGGAAGAAGAAAUGACGGUACCUGAGUAAGAAGCACCGGCUAAAUACGUGCCAGCAGCCGCGGUAAUACGUAGGGGGCAAGCGUUAUCCGGAUUUACUGGGUGUAAAGGGGGCGCAGACGGCAGCGCAAGCCAGGAGUGAAAGCCCGGGGCCCAACCCCGGGACUGCAUUGGGAACUGGCGCGCUGGAGUGCCGGAGGGGUAGGCGGAAUUCCUAGUGUGGCGGUGAAAUGCGUAGAUAUUAGGAGGAACACCAGUGGCGAAGGCGGCCUACUGGACGGUGACUGACGCUGAGGCUCGAAAGCGUGGGGAGCAAACAGGAUUAGAUACCCGAGUAG
rnacentral:rRNA from 1 species